rnacentral:rRNA from 1 species
CGGAGGGUGCAAGCGUUAUCCGGAUUCACUGGGUUUAAAGGGUGUGUAGGCGGGCUAUUAAGUCAGUGGUGAAAUCUCCGGGCUCAACCCGGAAACUGCCAUUGAUACUAUUAGUCUUGAAUAUUGUUGAGGUAGGCGGAAUACAUCAUGUAGCGGUGAAAUGCAUAGAUAUGAUAUAGAACACCGAUUGCGAAGGCAGCUUACUAAACAAUUAUUGACGCUGAGGCACGAAAGCGUGGGGAUCAAACAGGAUUAGAUACCCUGGUAGUCCACGCCCUAAACGAUGAUUACUCGACAUACGCGAUACACAGUGUGUGUCUGAGCGAAAGCAUUAAGUAAUCCACCUGGGAAGUACGUCCGCAAGGAUG